UCAAAAUAGUUGUUUUUUCAUGAAUGAAUUAAAAAUGAGUAAGGAAAGGAAAAGAGAAGAACUUGAUACUUGAAGGGAUAAGAAUAAAAGAACUUGAAGCAUUAUGGCAAUGGCAAGGACGAGGUACUGCUCAAUAAAACUUAUAAGGUUUUCGUAAAUAAAUAAAUAAAUAUAGAAUAAGACAUUCAUUUGAAAUCAUUUAAUAACAAUAAAUUGG
rnacentral:lncRNA from 1 species